rnacentral:tRNA from 2 species
CUCUGGGUGGUCUAGUUGGUUCAUGGCGUUCGGCUGUAAUGGAUAACAUCUCACCGAAAUGUCGGCGGUUCGACUCCGUCCCCGGAGA